rnacentral:rRNA from 1 species
AUACGUAGGUGGCAAGCGUUGUCCGGAAUUACCGGGUGUAAAGGGAGCGCAGGCGGGCGUGCAAGUCAGCUGUGAAAUCCAUGGGCUUAACCCGUGGGCUGCAGUUGAAACUGUAUGUCUUGAGUGAAGUAGAGGUAGGCGGAAUUCCGAGUGUAGCGGUAAAAUGCGUAGAUAUUCGGAGGAACACCGGUGGCGAAGGCGGCCUACUGGGCUUUAACUGACGCUGAGGCUCGAAAGUGUGGGGAGCAAACAGGAUUAGAUACCCUGGUAGUCCACACUGUAAACGAUGAUUGCUAGGUGUGGGGGGUCUGACCCCUUCCGUGCCGCAGUUAACGCAAUAAGCAAUCCACCUGGGGAGUACGGCCGCAAGGCUAAAACUCAAAUGAAUUGACGGGG